rnacentral:misc_RNA from 1 species
UCCGAGUUGUCCCCGGCAGUCUCCUAUGAGUCCCCGGCUUUACCCGCUGGCAACAUAGGACAAGGGUUGCGCUCGUUGCGGGACUUAACCCAACAUCUCACGACACGAGCUGACGACAGCCAUGCACCACCUGUCAUGGACGCUUACGCACACCGUGUUUCCACGGCUUUUCCCAUGAUGUCAAGUCCAGGUAAGGUUCUUCGGGUUGCAUCGAAUUAAGCCGCAUGCUCCGCCGCUUGUGCGGGGACCCGUCAAUUCCUUUGAGUUUUAGCCUUGCGGCCGUACUUCCCAGGCGGGGUACUUAAUGCGUUAGCUUCGGCACGGCAUUCGUUGAUCAGAACGCCACACCUAGUACCCAACGUUUACGGCGUGGACUAC